CAGGGCUGAUGUCACGGAGAAGCUGUCCCCUCCCCCAUCCAAAACCUAGGGUCGGGAGCCCGGGCGUGGCUGCCGCCCCAGCCGUGACUUCUCUUUGCACCCUAUGGCGAUCUCUGGGGGCAAAUCUUUACACAGAGAGGCUCACUGUGUAUCCCUGGCUGGCCUGGAACUCACUAUGUAGACCAGAAUGGCCUUGAACUCAGAGUUUUCCCUGUGACGUUAAGAUUAAAAGAGCUAGUUCCCACCAUCAUUAUUCUUUACUAUUACAAGAUCAAAAGGACUUGAGGACUGCCGUCAUCACUGCAGGUUGGAUCAUUAUUAUCAUUGCUGGCUGAAUUACAUUAUUCUCACCAAGCACAGGCAGUGUCAGGAACUAAGCCACACUCAAAUUGCAGCAUGAUGUCACAUGCUGUGUGGAUUUGCCUGUUUGGACCUCUCCUGCCUGCCACACUUUUCGCAGAGGAGAUGCGUGCUAUGUUCAUUGGGGAACAGUCACAUGUGUUAGGCGGCCAUCUCAAAAGUAUCUCUAGGUACAGCUUGCUAUCUCCUUCACUCUUCCAGGGCUCAGACCCUCGUGGGCUUCCUUUAAAGCCCUGGGGCUUGAUUCUGUGGCACUAGACUUGCAAUCCCAGCUCUUCUGGAAGCUGAGACAAGAACACAAGCUCAAGACCUGCCUGAGCUACAGAGCUAUUGAAAGGCCAGUCUGUGGACUUAGCGAAGCCUUGACUCAAAACAAAAAGGGCCAGUGAAUUGGCUCAGCAAGUAAGGGAGCUUGCUGUGCAAAACCCACAGGAGAAGGAAUGAGCCAACUCCCAAAAGUGACCUCCGCUCACACAGCUGGCUUGUGAAUGCCUACCUAACCAACUGCUAACACCACGCACACAAGCACACACACACACACACACACACACACACACACACACACACAGAGAGAGAGAGAGAGAGAGAGAGAGAGUGUGUGUGUGUGAAUGAAUGAAUGAAUAAAAUUCAAAUACAAAAUCAAAAGUAAGCCGUGGAUAUAGCUCAGGGGUAGAACACAUGCUAGUAUGUAUACAGCUUCAUCCCCCAGUUCUGACGUCAUUCCCCAGUUUUAUAAAUAAAGAGAGACAAGUCAGGGAUAGAGCUGGGUUGUUGAAUUUACUCUCUUCCAGGAAUAAAGCUAAGCAUCUCAUGAUUCAGAAGAUGAGACAUUUAUCUGGCCUGUUUUUUUGUUUUUGAUUUUGUUUUUCUUUCUCCCAUAAGUCACGUCUACCCAUUUAGCUCAACUCACCAUUCAAGAGAGCCCUACUGUCCUGGUAAAUUUUGGUUGUCAACGACCCAGAGUUACCUGGGGCGAGGGAACCCAAGUCAAGAAUCCUUUCCAUCUGACUGGUCUGGUGGAGGGACUGGUCCUUGGUGAUACUGGUCCUAUUUAACUGUGCCCAGUCUGGCUCCAUCCAGGCAGCCGUACCCACACCUACAGAUGACGUGACCAGACAUGGUAGCCAGAUGGUCUCUGCUGGGUGCUACAGAGGAGGCUCGACACACACAGGUGAAGGGAGAGGUGACCUCAGUUUCAUUGGAUUGAAGUGCCUGGGGACAUCUAGUGGGCAGUUCUACACGGAGCCAAAGACGGACCGGGGCUGAAGGUAGAGAUGUGGGGUUGUCAGUCUGGAGAGAAUUUGGGAAGAAGAGCAGGCCCAGAAGCCCAAGGGACACUGCCAUUUGAGAGUGGCUGAGAGCCUGCAAAGGAAACUACAAAGGAGUCAUCAAAGAUCUGGGAUAACAGCCAUGAUGUGGAGGUCAGAAGGUUGGGGGCAGGGCAGAUCAUGACACAUACCAGGUUCUCAUCUUCAUGAUGCCUUAGAAGAGACUUGGGAAGCACGGAGCCUCCAGGAGAAGAAAAUGAGUGGAAAGAUCAGGAAAAGUAAGGUCUGGUCCAGUCUUUUGUUUCAGCACCCAGGAGGCAGGGGCAGGCAGAUCUCUGUGAGCUCAGGGCUAGCCUGAUCUACAUAGCCUGUUCCAGCCACGCCCCUGCCCCCAAAAAGGUAAGAUCACCAGGGUGUGACAUCUCAUAAACAAGGGUAUUCGUCCCUUCACUACCAAAGCCAUUUAAGGUUCCUCCACCGGUUCCCAGAGACACUCAAAUGUGUGACUCAUCCAGCCUGAGGGUAUUGUAGUGCUAAGGACACCAAUCUGGGAGGCACAAUGGUUCUGGAGGCAAGGCCCUGCUGCUAGGUUUGAACUGUACCUCACCAGACAAGUGGCAGUUUUCAUGCUUCUCAGGGGACAACAGAGUCACUUUAGAACUUAAAGGAACCCCAAGGAAUUUAAAAAAAAAAAGCCUGUGAGAACACCAGAUUCACCUUGACUUCAAAGCCCCCCCUGCCUCGCCCCCUGCCUUAGAGCUAAGGAUAUAGCUCGGUUAGUAAAGUGCUGGCUUAACACACAGGAAGCCCCAAGUUCAAUCCCCAGCAUUGCAUAAAACCAGGCAUGCUAUCACAUGCCUCUGACCUGAGCAUUCAGGAGGUGGAAGCAAGGAGCGUUUGUUGUAUUUCUGAGGCGGCUUAAAGAGAGAGACCAGCCUGACCUCAGCACACUGGGCUGUUUACUUCAAACAGCAAGGGGCAGAUACAGUGGGGAAGUGUCUGCCAACAGGGAAGGGAUACCUCCAGUUUAUAUAGGGUCUUCUAUAGGGUGUUCAGAGAAUAGGAAGUUAGUGCAGCUUCAGAAAGCUAUGAAUCAAUCCCUAGGUUCUCCCUCCUGGGGUUGUCUGUCCAAACAAGGCUAUUUUAUCUUUAGAAGCUGCCUUGAUCUGGCUACCAGGAUGUGGGUGAUGGUGGGUGGUUGAGUUAAGCCAUGACAGCAAGGGGAAAGGGCUGGAGUUUCAACAGAGCAUCUUGGUCAGGGUCUGGAGGGAUUUGUUCAAUAUUUACUCUAACAUGGAGU